rnacentral:rRNA from 1 species
AGAGCGAACGCUGGCGGCAGGCCUAACACAUGCAAGUCGAGCGCUCGUAGCAAUACGAGAGCGGCAGACGGGAGAGUAACACGUGGGAACGUACCCUUUGGUUCGGAACAACACAGGGAAACUUGUGCUAAUACCGAAUAAGCCCUUACGGGGAAAGAUUUAUCGCCAAAGGAUCGGCCCGCGUCUGAUUAGCUAGUUGGUGGGGUAAUGGCUCACCAAGGCGACGAUCAGUAGCUGGUCUGAGAGGAUGAUCAGCCACAUUGGGACUGAGACACGGCCCAAACUCCUACGGGAGGCAGCAGUGGGGAAUAUUGGACAAUGGGCGAAAGCCUGAUCCAGCCAUGCCGCGUGAGUGAUGAAGGCCUUAGGGUUGUAAAGCUCUUUUACCCGGGAAGAUAAUGACGGUACCGGGAGAAUAAGCCCGGCUAACUUCGUGCCAGCAGCCGC